rnacentral:rRNA from 1 species
GAUCCUGGCUCAGGAUUAACGCUGGCGGCGUGCAUAACACAUGCAAGUCGAACGAUGAAGAUUAUUAGACUUCUUCGGAAUGAAAAUAAUUGGAUUAGUGGCGGACGGGUGAGUAACGCGUGAGUAACCUGCCUUACACAAGGGGAUAGCCGUUGGAAACGACGAAUAAUACCCUGUGAAACUAUCACUUCGCAUGAAGCGAUAGUCAAAGUGUUAGCGGUGUAAGAUGGACUUGCGU